AGAGUUUGAUCAUGGCUCAGGACGAACGCUGGCGGCGUGCUUAACACAUGCAAGUCGAGCGGUAAGGCCCCUCGGGGUACACGAGCGGCGAACGGGUGAGUAACACGUGGGUGAUCUGCCUCGCACUCUGGGAUAAGCCUGGGAAACUGGGUCUAAUACCGGAUAUGACCACGAAUCGCAUGGUUUGUGGUGGAAAGAUUUAUUGGUGCGAGAUGGGCCCGCGGCCUAUCAGCUUGUUGGUGGGGUAAUGGCCUACCAAGGCGACGACGGGUAGCCGACCUGAGAGGGUGACCGGCCACACUGGGACUGAGACACGGCCCAGACUCCUACGGGAGGCAGCAGUGGGGAAUAUUGCACAAUGGGCGAAAGCCUGAUGCAGCGACGCCGCGUGAGGGAUGACGGCCUUCGGGUUGUAAACCUCUUUCGACAGGGACGAAGCGUGAGUGACGGUACCUGUAGAAGAAGCACCGGCCAACUACGUGCCAGCAGCCGCGGUAAUAC
rnacentral:rRNA from 1 species